rnacentral:misc_RNA from 1 species
CACCACUCAAGCCUGGCUUGGUAUUGGGCGUCGCGGUGUUCCGCGCGCCUUAAAGUCUUCCGGCUGAGCUGUCCGUCUCUAAGCGUUGUGAUUUCAUUAAUCGCUUCGGAGCGCGGGCGGUCGCGGCCGUUAAAUCUUUCAUAA